rnacentral:misc_RNA from 1 species
GAUGAAGAACGUAGCGAAAUGCGAUAAGUAAUGUGAAUUGCAGAAUUCAGUGAAUCAUCGAAUCUUUGAACGCACAUUGCGCCCUCUGGUAUUCCGGGGGGCAUGCCUGUUCGAGCGUCAUUAUAACCACUCAAGCUCUCGCUUGGUAUUGGGGUUCGCGGUUCCGCGGCCCCUAAAAUCAGUGGCGGUGCCUGUCGGCUCUACGCGUAGUAAUACUCCUCGCGAUUGAGUCCGGUAGGUCUACUUGCUAGCAACCCCCAAUUUUUACAGGUUGACCUCGGAUCAGGUAGGGAUACCCGCUGAACUUAAGCAUAUCAAUAAGCGGAGGA